GCGGGGUGGCUCAGUCCCCAGUCUCAGACGCGCCGCGCAGCAGGUCGGAGCAGCCUCCCCGGGAGGAUGUCCAGCGGCAGCGCUCCUCGCUCCAGCCCUUGGGGAUCUUCCGCUGAGGCAUUGAAGGCAGGAAGAAGGGGUCCGUCAUCGGCUCGCCGGGCUGCGCGCCACCUCUGCUAUCUUGCGGAAAGAGGAGCGGGCAUACAACUCAGGAUUCAUAACUACAUAUAUACGGAUAGAAGUGCAUGAACAGAAAAUCUGCCCUUCUGGAAUACCAAAUGCAAAAUUAAAGUGACUACAAGCAGAAUUUGGAGAAAAAAAAUAAAAGAUGCAAUAUAGUUUUUAAAAUCAUUGUUAAAAUAUAAUGAGUCUGUACUUUGCUUAAACAAUAAAAAAGUCUUUGAUUUAUACUGAAUUCUGUUUUAUUUUGGAUAAGCUAAUAAUCUUGAAAAUGUCUUCUGUGUCAUUUUGGUUUUAUUCUAGUGAAACUCCCAUUUAUGUAGUGCAAAUUAUAUACAAAACUGUGUUCCCUAAGGGGAUCCCUUUAAUAGAAACACGCAAACUCAUUCAACUCUUGUCCUUUGUAGUAGUUAUUUAAUAAGUCUAUGCUAUACGUUCUAGGGAUAUCUGAAAUUAUGAAAUUUGUCAAUUCUUCUUACAAUUAUGAUCCUCAAUAUAACUCAGCAUAAGUCUGACUGUGCUUCUGAAGUCAGUUAGUUUAUUUAUUGUUAUCCAUGCUUAGGUGGAGAGAGAAUUUCC
rnacentral:lncRNA from 1 species